rfam:Olsenella profusa F0195 contig00015, whole genome shotgun sequence.
CGCCUGGUCGGAAACCAGGCCCAAUGAAGGAG